CAGCGCCGCGGGAAUACGAAGGGUGCAAGCGUUAAUCGGAAUUACUGGGCGUAAAGCGUGCGUAGGUGGUGGUUUAAGUCCGUUGUGAAAGCCCUGGGCUCAACCUGGGAAUUGCAGUGGAUACUGGGUCACUAGAGUGUGGUAGAGGAUAGUGGAAUUUCCGGUGUAGCAGUGAAAUGCGUAGAGAUCGGAAGGAACAUCUGUGGCGAAGGCGACUAUCUGGGCCAACACUGACGCUGAGGCGCGAAAGCGUGGGGAGCAAACAGGAUUAGAUACCCCUGUAGUCCCUGUCUCUUAUACA
rnacentral:rRNA from 1 species